rnacentral:rRNA from 1 species
ACGAACGCUGGCGGCGUGCUUCACACCUGCAAGUCGAACGGAAAGGCCCUGCUUUUGUGGGGUGCUCGAGUGGCGAACGGGUGAGUAACACGUGAGUAACCUGCCCUUGACUUUGGGAUAACUUCAGGAAACUGGGGCUAAUACCGGAUAGGAGCUCCUGCUGCAUGGUGGGGGUUGGAAAGUUUCGGCGGUUGGGGAUGGACUCGCGGCUUAUCAGCUUGUUGGUGGGGUAGUGGCUUACCAAGGCUUUGACGGGUAGCCGGCCUGAGAGGGUGACCGGCCACAUUGGGACUGAGAUACGGCCCAGACUCCUACGGGAGGCAGCAGUGGGGAAUAUUGCACAAUGGGCGGAAGCCUGAUGCAGCAACGCCGCGUGCGGGAUGACGGCCUUCGGGUUGUAAACCGCUUUCGCCUGUGACGAAGCGUGAGUGACGGUAAUGGGUAAAGAAGCACCGGCUAACUACGUG